GUGCUCGCUUUGGCAGCACAUGUACUAAAAUAGAAACAAUACAGAGAAGAUUAGCAUGGCCCCUGUGCAAGGAUGACAAAUUGUGAAGUGUUCCGUAUUUUU
ensembl:snRNA U6 U6 spliceosomal RNA